UAAUUGCGAUGGGGGGACGGAGCAGGCUAAACAAGCAUGGCGUUGGUAGUCCAUGUGAAAGUGAGUAGGUUGGCGACUUAGGUAAAUCCGGGUUGCUAUUAAGACUGAGACACGAGACGAGUCACCACGGUGAUGAAGUUGUUGAUGCCAUACUUCCAGGAAAAGCCUCUAAGCUUCAGAUUAUAUGGAAUCGUACCCCAAACCGACACAGGUGGUCAGGUAGAGAAUACUAAGGCGCUUGAGAGAACUCG
rnacentral:rRNA from 1 species